rnacentral:rRNA from 1 species
GAUGAACGCUGGCGGCGUGCCUAAUACAUGCAAGUCGAGCGAACGGACGAGAAGCUUGCUCCUCUGACGUUAGCGGCGGACGGGUGAGUAACACGUGGAUAACCUACCUAUAAGACUGGGAUAACUUCGGGAAACCGGAGCUAAUACCGGAUAAUAUUUUGAACCGCAUGGUUCAAAAGUGAAAGACGGUCUUGCUGUCACUUAUAGAUGGAUCCGCGCUGCAUUAGCUAGUUGGUAAGGUAACGGCUUACCAAGGCAACGAUGCAUAGCCGACCUGAGAGGGUGAUCGGCCACACUGGAACUGAGACACGGUCCAGACUCCUACGGGAGGCAGCAGUAGGGAAUCUUCCGCAAUGGGCGAAAGCCUGACGGAGCAACGCCGCGUGAGUGAUGAAGGUCUUCGGAUCGUAAAACUCUGUUAUUAGGGAAGAACAAAUGUGUAAGUAACUAUGCACAUCUUGACGGUACCUAAUCAGAAAGCCACGGCUAACUACGUG